CCAGACUCCUACGGGAGGCAGCAGUGGGGGAUAUUGCACAAUGGGGGAAACCCUGAUGCAGCGACGCCGCGUGGACGAAGAAGUAUUUCGGUAUGUAAAGUCCUAUCAGCAGGGAAGAAGAAAUGACGGUACCUGACUAAGAAGCCCCGGCUAACUACGUGCCAGCAGCCGCGGUAAUACGUAGGGGGCAAGCGUUAUCCGGAUUUACUGGGUGUAAAGGGAGCGCAGGCGGCAGCGCAAGUCUGAUGCGAAAGCCCGGGGCCCAACCGCGGGACUGCAUUGGAAACUGCGCAGCUGGAGUGCCGGAGGGGUAAGCGGAAUUCCUAGUGUAGCGGUGAAAUGCGUAGAUAUUAGGAGGAACACCAGUGGCGAAGGCGGCUUACUGGACGGCAACUGACGCUGAGGCUCGAAAGCGUGGGGAGCAAACAGGAUUAGAUACCCCCGUAAA
rnacentral:rRNA from 1 species